UGGGGAAUAUUGGACAAUGGGCGCAAGCCUGAUCCAGCCAUGCCGCGUGAGUGAUGAAGGCCCUAGGGUUGUAAAGCUCUUUCACCGGUGAAGAUAAUGACGGUAACCGGAGAAGAAGCCCCGGCUAACUUCGUGCCAGCAGCCGCGGUAAUACGAAGGGGGCUAGCGUUGUUCGGAUUUACUGGGCGUAAAGCGCACGUAGGCGGACUAUUAAGUCAGGGGUGAAAUCCCGGGGCUCAACCCCGGAACUGCCUUUGAUACUGGUAGUCUUGAGUUCGAGAGAGGUGAGUGGAAUUCCGAGUGUAGAGGUGAAAUUCGUAGAUAUUCGGAGGAACACCAGUGGCGAAGGCGGCUCACUGGCUCGAUACUGACGCUGAGGGGCGAAAGCGUGGGGAGCAAACAGG
rnacentral:rRNA from 1 species